rnacentral:rRNA from 1 species
CAGUGGGGAAUUUUGGACAAUGGGCGAAAGCCUGAUCCAGCCAUGCCGCGUGAGUGAUGAAGGCCUUAGGGUUGUAAAGCUCUUUCAGUAGGGAAGAUAAUGACGGUACCUACAGAAGAAGCCCCGGCUAACUACGUGCCAGCAGCCGCGGUAAUACGUAGGGUGUGAGCGUUAAUCGGAAUUACUGGGCGUAAAGCGUGCGCAGGCGGAUUGUUAAGCAAGAUGUGAAAUCCCCGGGCUUAACCUGGGAAUGGCAUUUUGAACUGGCAGUCUAGAGUGCGUCAGAGGGGGGUGGAAUUCCACGUGUAGCAGUGAAAUGCGUAGAGAUGUGGAGGAACACCGAUGGCGAAGGCAGCCCCCUGGGAUGACACUGACGCUCAUGUACGAAAGCGUGGGUAGCAAAC